UUUAUUAGAUUGAAAUUGGGGCGAAAGAUGCGAAUAAUCCACCUAUCAAUGGUCCAAACGUGUAAAUCAUGAACUAUUCAAACAUUGGUAUUGAUAAGCUCUAAAAAUAUACCUUUUUUAACCUUUCAAUACUUAAAUUUCACAUCUUAGUUACCUUCUCCAAAGAACGCUAAAGCGCCUGUGCGCCCGCCUCAUUUCGAUACGAGAUUCAAAAACAGUUGCCAUAAAAUAGUUAGCUUUGGUCGGACAUUUGCAAUUUCUAGAAUUUUCCGAUGCUUUCCUACGAUUUUCGACGAUUUCGAAUGAAUUUCCAACAGAAUAAAGAAAAGAAGUAAUUUCUACAGCAACUCACAAUGGAAAACGAUAAAUUCCAGAUUAUCCGUAAAGCAAGACUUCCACUGAAAAUUAUUUCAGGGGACUUAGAAGAAAAUCAAGAUGAUGACGAUCAGGAGGGAAGGAACUACUUAUUCAAUGGAUAAUUCAGAUGAAUAACAUGAAAGUGGUUGUUUGUGAUGAUUACAAAGAUGAAGCGAGAGAAAAGAAAUAAUUUCACUCGAACAAAAUCAACUACAGCAACUUAUGAUGGAAGACAAUAAAUUCCAGAUUAUCGGCAGAGUGAGACUUUCCCCUGAAAAUUAUUUCAGGGGACUUGGAAGAAAAUCAAGAUGAUGACGAUCAGAAGGGUAGGAACUUAAGCAAUGGACAAUUCAGCCACAUGAUAACGAGCACAGAACACAAAUAAUGCAGAGACAGGUUGUCUCUGCUUCUGUGGUUCUACUUGAUGCUGAUCUUAGUUACCUUGCUCGAAGAACGCUAAUGCGCCUGUGCCCCCGCCGUGUUUCGAUACGAGAUUCAAAAACAGUUGCCAUAAAAUAGUUAGCUUUGGUCGGACAUUUGCAAUUUCUAGAAUUUUUCGACGCUUUCCUAUGAUUUUCGACGAUUUCGAAUGAAUUUCCUACAGAUUAGAGAAAAGAAGUAAUUCCACUUGAACAAAAUCAACUACGGCGACUUAUGAUGGAGAACAAUAAAUUCUAGGCAAAGCAAGACUUUCCGUUGAAAAUUAUUUCAGAGGACUGAGAAGAAAAUCAAGAUGAUGACUAUCAGAGCGGAAAGAAAUACUCAAUCAAUGGACAUUUCAGAUGAAUAACAUGAAAGUGGUGAUUUGUGACGAUUACGAAGAUGAAACGAGAGAAAAGAAGCAAUUCCACUUGGACAAAAUUAUCUGGAAGAAAAUUUUCAGCUCCUCCAAUGGUAACGGAUAUCGAGACGACAAGAUUUUUUUACUAGGUUUUAGGUUAGAAAGGGAACAGGACGGAGCAGCCAGAG